rnacentral:pre_miRNA from 1 species
GCAACAAGAGCCACUCAACUAGCCAAUAUGACUACCCAUGAGACCCCACACCAAGGCUAAUUAAACCUUAAGCGAGGAUACAGACACAAGCAAGUCAUCCUUGGCUAUCAGAGGUAAGGCCCUUGC